rnacentral:rRNA from 1 species
AUACGUAGGUGGCAAGCGUUGUCCGGAUUUAUUGGGCGUAAAGCGAGCGCAGGCGGUUUCUUAAGUCUGAUGUGAAAGCCCCCGGCUCAACCUGGGAACUGCAUUCGAAACUGGCAGGCUAGAGUCUUGUAGAGGGGGGUAGAAUUCCAGGUGUAGCGGUGAAAUGCGUAGAGAUCUGGAGGAAUACCGGUGGCGAAGGCGGCCCCCUGGACAAAGACUGACGCUCAGGUGCGAAAGCGUGGGGAGCAAACAGGAUUAGAUACCCUGGUAGUCCACGCCGUAAACGAUGAGUGCUAAGUGUUGGAGGGUUUCCGCCCUUCAGUGCUGCAGCUAACGCAUUAAGCACUCCGCCUGGGGAGUACGACCGCAAGGUUGAA